UACGUAGGGUGCGAGCGUUGUCCGGAAUUACUGGGCGUAAAGAGCUCGUAGGUGGUUUGUCGCGUUGUUCGUGAAAUCUCACGGCUUAACUGUGAGCGUGCGGGCGAUACGGGCAGACUAGAGUACUGCAGGGGAGACUGGAAUUCCUGGUGUAGCGGUGGAAUGCGCAGAUAUCAGGAGGAACACCGGUGGCGAAGGCGGGUCUCUGGGCAGUAACUGACGCUGAGGCACGAAGGCCAGGGGAGCAAACGGG
rnacentral:rRNA from 1 species